CCUUCGAAAAACCAUUGUAGUUGAGUAGGCCCACCGUGCACACUACCACUAUUACGGAUGAUGAAGUAGACCUACCUUGCAUAACCUACCGUGGUCAGCAUAGCUGUCACUGAUAGGUAUGAAUGAGGACAAAACAAAACAGAACGACAGAUAGGGAUCAAAAACGAUCCAACGAAUUAAAACGUGGUUGAUUUUUCUAUUGCUAUACUAAAAUACGUUAAAAACACUUGAAAUAAACAUAGUUUCUAGUUGUUUAUUGAACUCGUAAGUACACGACACAGAAUUACACCUAAAUUAUAUGAAAUAUAUUAAUGAAAUGAAUUGUACUACACAGACACACAUAAUUUGUUAAACAUAGUUGCGGACAUUGAACAAACAGGUUAAAAAGGAGGGACUAAAUACGUAAGUAAAAUUUGUUUGUUAACAUGAUUAUAUAAUAAUUAUAAAUAAAACUCCGCAGCUUAAAGCAUUCUCAACCCGCAAAAACCGAGUUUGCUAAAAAGGCUUCCCGAAAAACCACUGUUGUUCACUAACCGUAACAAACUUUAAGGUAUUUACCUCGAAGUGGAACGCAUUAGCGUUCGGAAUGUCGGUCUCUAAUAAUACAACGAACAAGCGCCGCGGCGUCAUCCGACAGCUGACGGACGAAGAGAGCUCCGUUGCCGCCCGUUGUCCUUCAUGCGAUCGGCCAGAUGUGGCAGAUAGAUGGAUGGUCCAGUGUGAUCUAUGUCAAAGGUGGUUUCACUUCUCCUGUGCAAGAGUCGAUGAGAGUGUGCGAGACCGCAGUUUCGCAUGUGGAACCUGCGCACUUCAACACGGGUUGGAAUCCACUAGAUCGACCACAUCCAGCACAAAUUCGGCGAGAAGACGGCUCGAGCUCCUCCGGUUAGAAGAGGAAAAGGAACUUCAGGAGAAACUGCUAGCGGAACAAGUCGAAGAGGAGGCGGCUCUGCAAAGGAAGAUAGUGGAAGAGGAACGGGAGCGUCGAAAGAGGAUCAUGCAGGAGAAGCUGGAUAUUGCCAAGCGGUAUAUCAACAAGAAGUACGAGGUGCUGCAGGAAGAGGAACGAUCAAAUCAUGGUGGGAGUCGGAAAAGUCAUUCCAGCACUCGAAGCAAACUGAGCGACGUUGAGAAGUGGGUGAAUAAUCAAAAUUUGGCCUUGGUAACUGGAUCCGGGACGAGUCAAGCCCCCAUCGGUGCCACGCCAGUUGUCGAAAUUGACCCCAAAACAACAGCUAGUAGUUCGUGUGGCGGUGCAGUUCCGAUCGUUUCCGCGCAGGCUGGUGUUCCCAAUACAUCUGUAGCAGCUACCGGUCCGUACAACCUUAACAAUAUCGCUUCUUGGGGAAUACUGGUACCCCGGUCGGGUCAGGGCCCAGCGAAUUCAGCUUCGGUUCCCCCUCCAUCGCUACCGACAACGUCCAGUACUCCGGUGCAGGAAAAGCAGAUUCCUCGUAGCAGCAAUCACGUAGCAGCUGACAUUUCUCCCCCCGCGACGACGCAGCAAGUUGGGCCAGCAGUGUACGAUAUGGACAUUUCUCCACCUCACGUCGGCGAACGGUCUAGAGCGGAUCUAGAGCGAGAGCUGCAGGAACUGCAGCAACAGUUAGCCAACCUCAAACGAAGUUCGUCCAGUCAGUAUCACUGUCCAGCUCCUGGUGGCAUCAGCAACGUUUCAGUUCCAGUAACUAGCCUAAGUAACAUGGCAGAUACAGGUACGUCAAACUUGCAUGUUUUGUUUCAAGCGACUCAAGAUGAAGGUAGACAGGCGCAGUUUCCGCGCAGUUACCCAGUAGGGACUCAGGCAAAUGUUAGAUUCGCUACACAAUGUACCAUACAGAACACGGUUCCAAACACUAGCUUUCUUCCUCGCUGGAACCCGAUGGUUUCAUCAAGUCGCUUAACGUCAAACCCACCAGGGGUUCCCAAUCCGAGUUUUUACAACGAUCCCAAUGUUCUCGCUGAUAACUUGUUCCAGCAGUAUGAACCAAGAAUUUCCAAUCCCAAUACCCGAUCAACUUUGUCGGCAGAAGCACCUUCCUAUCCUUUUAUCGCGAGUGAAAGAAGUGCUUCGAAUCAGAUAAGUCAGCCAGUCGCUUUUCCGGUUGAUGUUAUCUCCCGCCCUUUCGUCGCGAGUGUGCCGAGUGUCCCAAAUCCAAUCGUUACGCCAGUAGUGUCACAACGAGCGGUUCCUGAUCCAUCGGCCAGGCAUUGUGGACCGAGUUCGCAGCAAAUCGCCGCGAGGCACGUCGUGCCCAAGGAGCUUCCGGAGUUCGCAGGUGAUCCCAUAGAGUGGCCAUUGUUCGUGAGCAGUUACAACAACUCGACUCGAAUGUGUGGAUAUACCGACGACGAAAAUCUUAUGCGACUACAACGCAGCCUGAAGGGGAAUGCGAAGGAAGCAGUUCGGGGGCAUCUCUACCAUCCGUCAUCCGUGCCACAGAUUAUGACCACCUUGGAAACCCUAUACGGACGCCCGGAAUUAAUAGUAAAGUGCUUGACGAGCAAAGUGUAUUCUACUCCGGCGCCAAAAGCAGAUAAACUGGAAAGUCUCAUCAGUUUCGGACUCGUUGUGCAGAACCUCUGUAGCCAGCUGCAGUCUAUGGGUAUGGAAACCCAUUUGGCCAAUCCCUCACUACUCCAGGAUCUGGUAGACAAGCUGCCAGCUAACAUUAAACUGGACUGGGCUAUGUACCAGCGCCACGUUCCAGUAGUGGACUUGCGUGCUUUCGGCACCUAUAUGACCACAAUUGUAUCUGCCGCUAGCAAGGUCACGCUUUACGCAGAGCCGUCUACAAAGCCAGAGAAGCCUAAAGGGAAGGAAAAAGGUUUCGUCAACGCCCAUUCAACGGAACCCAACAGACACAACGAUCGCGACAAGAAGGAGGAGACAAGCGGCGUGAGUGUAGGCUAUCAACCAAAGCCGUGUCUGUUGUGUAAGUUGGAGGGGCAUAAAGUGAAGGAUUGCGAGGGAUUCAAGCAAUUAACGUUGGCGAAUCGAUGGAAAACUGCUCAUCAGCUGAGCCUUUGUCGUCGCUGUCUGAUUCCACACGGAAAGUGGCCAUGCAAGGCCACAGUUUGUGGAGUAGGUAACUGCGAAGCGCGUCAUCACAAGUUGUUACAUCCUGGAGAUCCCCAGUCGUCGGUUAUCGAAGGUACGACGCCAGCAUUAAACCAGCCCGCAUCGUCAGCGACCGUGAAUGUGCAUCGACAGCAUCCGUGUCCGGUACUCUUCCGAAUACUGCCAGUUACACUUUACGGGAAAAGUGCAUCAGUCAACACGCUAGCGUUUCUCGACGAUGGAUCAUCGCACACGCUUAUCGAGAAGAAGUUGGCCGACGAACUAGGCGUUGAAGGCGAAGUGGAACCCCUGUGCAUACAGUGGACAGGCAAUAUACGACGAACAGAAAGUGAAUCCCAGAACGUUCAGCUUGCAGUUUCGGCGAUUGGUAACGAUCGGAAGCAUUCUUUGGACCAUGUGCGUACGGUGGAGAACUUGGAUCUUCCUCCACAAUCGUUGCAGUACGAAGAAAUGGCGCGCAAAUUCGACUAUCUGAAGGGUAUUCCUGUGAACAGUUAUUCUAGUGCUGCACCUCGUAUCCUGAUCGGCGCCGACAAUGCCAAGUUGUUGCUGACAUUAAAGAAGCGAGAAGGAAAGUACUGCGAACCAGUUGCGGCGAAGACUAGAUUAGGUUGGACCGUCUACGGGAAAGCGGAAGGCCUUAACGACUCGCCCGAACAUCGUCUACUUCACAUUUGUGGCCGGUCGUCUGAUCAACAGCUACACGAUGCAGUGAAGAGCUUUUUUUCGAUCGAAAACGUAGGUGUAGCCCUUGUCCCGCAAGUCGAAGCCGACGAAGAUCGCAGGGCACGCGAAAUUCUGGAAAGGACAACCAUUCGCACAGCAACCGGAAGAUUUCAAACAGGUCUGCUAUGGAAGUUUGAUUGUGUCGAGUUUCCAGAAAACCGAUUCAUGGCAGAGCGACGAUUGACUUGUCUAGAACGAAGCCUCUCAAAGAAACCGGAAUUAUACGCGAACGUCCGUCAACAGAUACUCGACUAUCAAGCAAAGGGUUACGCGCACAAGCUUACCGAUGAAGAAACUAACCGCAGUGAACCAAAAAAGGUGUGGUAUUUGCCGCUAGGAGUCGUGCAGAACCCGAACAAACCCGGAAAAGUUCGGGUCAUAUGGGAUGCUGCCGCCAAAACUGGUGGUGUUUCACUGAACUCAAUGCUUCUACCGGGUCCGGAUCUUCUCACCUCGCUUCCAUCUGUAUUGUUCCGCUUUCGCCAACGAGAGGUUGCCGUCACAGGCGACAUUAAGGAAAUGUUCCACCAGAUUAUCAUUCGUCCGGAAGAUCGACAGGCCCAGCGUUUCCUGUGGCGGGACAGUCAGGAAGACCCGAUUCAGGAAUACGUCAUGGACGUAGCCACGUUUGGGUCUACAUGUUCGCCAUGUUCUGCCCAAUACGUAAAGAACAAAAACGCUGAGGAAUGGAAGCAGAGAUAUCCCGAAGCAGCUGCAGCCAUAGUAGAGAAUACCUAUGUAGAUGAUUAUGCAAACAGUGCGGAUACGGUUGAAGAAGCAGUUCGCGUAGCACUCGAAGUGAAGGAGAUUCAUGCUAGCGCGGGCUUUGUAAUUCGGAACUGGCUCUCGAAUUCCGGACAAGUUCUUCGACGGGUCGGGGAACAAGGUUCAGAAACCUCGAAAACCUUUUCAGUGGGAAAGUCAGCCGAUGCAGAACGAGUUCUGGGUAUAACCUGGCUUCCAGAAUAUGACAGCCUCCUGUUCGCCGCCAAGUUUCGCCCUGAUAUUCAACAUCUACUAGACGAAGACACGAUUCCAACCAAGCGUCAGGUGCUCAGGGUCGUGAUGAGUAUUUUUGACCCCCUCGGACUGGUGGCGGCAUUUGUUGUUCACGGCAAGUGCUUGAUCCAAGACAUUUGGAGAGCAGGCGUCGACUGGGACGACCAGAUUCCACCGGAGAUAGUCGAUCAAUGGCGGCGAUGGGUCGAGGUGCUUCGUAAUCUAGACCACGUGGAGAUCCCGCGCUGUUACUUCCCUGGAUACGACCCACGCAGCCUUCAGAGCCUGGAACUUCAUGUUUUUGUCGAUGCGAGUGAGGCAGCGUAUGCGAGUGUCGCAUAUUUUCGAAUUGUCGAUCGUGGGCAUGUCCGCUGCGCACUUGUUGCUGCCAAAACUAAAGUGGCCCCUCUUAAACCGAUGUCAGUUCCCCGGCUAGAGUUACAGGCUGCAGUCAUUGGAGUAAGAUUAAUGAAGUCGGUUCAGGAGCAUCACACCUUACCGAUCAGUCGUCGUGUGAUCUGGGGUGACUCGAAAACGGUGCAGUCCUGGAUCCGUUCUGACCAACGCAAAUACCGGCAAUUCGUGGCCUUUAGGGUCAGUGAGAUCCUCAGCGAAACGAGUACAGACGAAUGGCGAUGGGUUCCGACGCGGCUCAAUGUUGCAGAUGAGGCCACAAAAUGGGGCAAAGGACCAUGCUUCCAAACUGACAGUCGGUGGUUUGUUGGCCCUGAAUUUCUGUACAAGGACGAAUCUGAAUGGCCUAUACAAGAGUCCUCCCCGCCGGACACUUCGGAAGAAAUGCGCGUGGUUCACGCUCACCAUCGAGUGGCUCCGGAAUCUCUGAUUCAAUAUUACCGGUUUUCCAAAUAUCAACGGCUGCUGCGGACCGUAGGAUUCGUUCUUCGCUUCAUUGAUUCCCGCCGUAGAAGAAUUGAUCCCGAACGGCGUGAUUCCAGGACAUUGUCAAAAGAAGAACUGUUGAAAGCAGAAGUUGUGCUGUGGAAGCUGGUGCAGGCCGAAGAAUACUCUGAAGAGCUAACAACAUUGCGCAGAAAUCAUCAGUUGUCACCGGAAUGCGGCAAGCGGCUGGAGAAAAGCAGUCCACUGCGGAAGUUGACAGUAUUUUUGGACGAACAAGGAGUCUUGCGGAUCGAAGGACGAAUUGGUGCGGCCAAAUGUGUUCCAUACGGGUCCAAGUUUCCCGUGAUUCUUCCGAAAAAGCACCGUUUCACCGAGUUACUCGUUGAAUUCUUCCAUCAGCGCUACGCACACGGAUUUGGAGAAACAGUAACGAAUGAACUACGACAGAGUUUUCACAUCCCAAGUUUGAGAACAGUUGUUCGGAAAGUGGCUAGGAGUUGUCCAUGGUGUACCGUAUAUCGCGCUGUACCGAAGGCACCUCGAAUGGCACCUCUUCCAGCAGUACGAGUGACCCCUUAUGUCCGGCCAUUCACAUUCAUCGGAAUCGACUACUGUGGACCGUUCAUGAUUCGGAUCGGCAGAAGCAGCGUAAAACGUUGGGUUGUGCUCAUCACCUGCUUGACGGUACGAGCCGUACACCUAGAAGUCGCCUGCAGCAUGUCCAGCGAGUCGUGUAAGAUGGCGAUCAGGCGGUUUAUAGCCAGGAGAGGUGCUCCACAGGAGAUUUAUAGUGAUCAGGGCACGAACUUCAUCGGAGCGAGCAGAGAGCUAAAAGCGGAAGUUGCAGCGGUGAAUCGUGUCUUGGCAGGAAGUUUUACCAACCGUGACACUCAAUGGCGGUUCAAUCCCCCCGCCGCCCCCCACAUGGGUGGCGUGUGGGAACGCCUAGUACGAACCGUGAAGACUUCGUUGGAAUCUCUGUCGAUCAGCAAAACACCGGACGAAGAAACUUUCAACACUCUCCUCAUUGAAGUCGAAGGAAUCGUCAAUUCCAGGCCGUUGACGUUUGUGCCUCUAGAAACGGAAGAUGAUGAAGCGCUUACGCCCAACCACUUCCUUAUGCUGAGCUCAAAUGGCGUUUGCCAGCCACCGCAAAUGCCAGCAAAGGACAGUGGUCGGUCGCUUCGGGCUAAUUGGGACCAGGUGCGAUGCUUACUGGAUGAAUUUUGGAGCAAGUGGAUCAAGGGAUACCUGCCUACCAUCUGCCGUCGCACGAAGUGGUUCGACGACACCAAGCCAGUCAACGUUGGAGACCUGGUGUUUAUAGUCGAUGAAGGUAUACGGAACAGCUGGAUACGCGGAAAGGUGGUGAAGGUGAUUCCUGGCAGCGAUGGAAGAGUACGAAGAGUUGAUGUGCAGACGAACAUCGGAGUGUUGCAGAGACCAGUUACCAAAGUGGCAGUGUUAGACGUGGCAGUUGGAGGUACAGCUGAGGAUGACCACUAGCAAUACGGGUCGGGGAAUGUAGUUGAGUAGGCCCACCGUGCACACUACCACUAUUACGGAUGAUGAAGUAGACCUACCUUGCAUAACCUACCGUGGUCAGCAUAGCUGUCACUGAUAGGUAUGAAUGAGGACAAAACAAAACAGAACGACAGAUAGGGAUCAAAAACGAUCCAACGAAUUAAAACGUGGUUGAUUUUUCUAUUGCUAUACUAAAAUACGUUAAAAACACUUGAAAUAAACAUAGUUUCUAGUUGUUUAUUGAACUCACACACAUAAUUUGUUAAACAUAGUUGCGGACAUUGAACAAACAGGUUAAAAAGGAGGGACUAAAUACGUAAGUAAAAUUUGUUUGUUAACAUGAUUAUAUAAUAAUUAUAAAUAAAACUCCGCAGCUUAAAGCAUUCUCAACCCGCAAAAACCGAGUUUGCUAAAAAGGCUUCCCGAAAAACCACUGUUGUUCACUAACCGUAACAACCAUUUUAACCAAACACAUGUUUAUUAAUAUUGCGCUUUUUUCCGUUUAUUAAUAAAUCUAUCGUUUAACUGGU